CUGAAACUACCUAAAAAUAAUAACCCCUUUAUUUUCAGUUUUCAAUCGCCAUUUUCGACUAUAAAACUUUCCAUCUUCAACAUUUGCUUAGUUCUCAUCAAAGGUAUGUAUCUUCUUCAACAUUUGCAAGACCAUCAAAGCUUCAUCAAUGGUGGAAAUAGUAAUGUUGAAAAAGACAACAAUGGUGAAAAUAGUGAUGUUGAAGAAAGAAAGGUUUAAAAUUUGGGAAAGAUAAGUAAUGGUGUUGUCUUGCCUUCUGUAUUCACAAAGAAUAUCAUAUCAAAAUAACAACCCUCAACAAUCAAAGGUGGUUGAUUAAGUACCCAAACAAAGGGCUUAUAGUAGCUGGAAUUAUAAUAUUAUGUAUUUUGAUUUAUAAUAUUGUGUAUUUGGGUUUAUAAUAGUGGUAUUUGUCGUAUUGUUAUGUAUUCAUAUUUGGGAUUAUGUUGGAAGUAUAAUAGUGUGUAUCUGAAUUUAUAAUAGUGUGUAUAUGGGUUUAUAAUAGAUUGAAUUUGUG